rnacentral:sRNA from 1 species
ACACAUAGAGGAGAGAGAAAAUGGCUGAGUUAAAGACUGUUGUUGGCCUGAUCAUCACUCACACAUCCAGGCUUGUUACAUCUCCACGCCACUGAGUAUAAGGGAACCUGCCCCAAUAUUCACUACAUUUCUGGAUUUGGGAAUGAGUGUUCUUCAGAGGAUCCUCGCUGCCCAGGUUCCCUGCCAGAAGGACAGAAUAAUCCUCAGGUCUGCCCCUACAAUCUCUAUGCUGAGCAGCUCUCAGGAUCGGCUUUCACUUGUCCACGGAGCACCAAUAAGAGAAGCUGGCUGUAUAGGAUUCUACCUUCAGUUUCUCACAAGCCCUUUGAAUCCAUUGACGAAGGCCAUGUCACUCACAACUGGGAUGAAGUUGAUCCUGAUCCUAACCAGCUUAGAUGGAAACCAUUUGAGAUUCCAAAAGCAUCUCAGAAGAAAGUAGACUUUGUGAGUGGCCUGCAUACCUUGUGUGGAGCUGGAGACAUAAAGUCUAACAAUGGGCUUGCUAUCCACAUUUUCCUCUGCAAUACC